AUUGAACGCUGGCGGCAUGCCUUACACAUGCAAGUCGAACGGUAACAGGUCUUCGGAUGCUGACGAGUGGCGAACGGGUGAGUAAUACAUCGGAACGUGCCUAGUAGUGGGGGAUAACUACUCGAAAGAGUGGCUAAUACCGCAUGAGAUCUACGGAUGAAAGCAGGGGAUCGCAAGACCUUGUGCUACUAGAGCGGCCGAUGGCAGAUUAGGUAGUUGGUGGGAUAAAAGCUUACCAAGCCGACGAUCUGUAGCUGGUCUGAGAGGACGAUCAGCCACACUGGGACGGAGGCACGGUCCAGACGCCUACGGUGGGAAGCAGUGGGGAAUUUUGGACAAUGGGCGAAAGCCUGAGCCAGUAAUGCCGCGUGCAGGAUGAAGGCCUUCGGGUUGUAAACUGCUUUUGUACGGAACGAAAAGCCCCGGGUUAAUACCCUGGGGUCAUGACGGUACCGUAAGAAUAAGCACCGGCUAACUACGUGCCAGCCGCCGCGGUAA
rnacentral:rRNA from 1 species